CCUACGGGUGGCAGCAGUCGAGAAUCAUUCACAAUGGGGGAAACCCUGAUGGUGCGACGCCGCGUGGGGGAAUGAAGGUCUUCGGAUUGUAAACCCCUGUCAUGUGGGAGCAAAUUAAAAAGAUAGUACCACAAGAGGAAGAGACGGCUAACUCUGUGCCAGCAGCCGCGGUAAUACAGAGGUCUCAAGCGUUGUUCGGAAUCACUGGGCGUAAAGCGUGCGUAGGCUGUUUCGUAAGUCGUGUGUGAAAGGCGCGGGCUCAACCCGCGGACGGCACAUGAUACUGCGAGACUAGAGUAGUGGAGGGGGAACCGGAAUUCUCGGUGUAGCAGUGAAAUGCGUAGAUAUCGAGAGGAACACUCGUGGCGAAGGCGGGUUCCUGGACAUUAACUGACGCUGAGGCACGAAGGCCAGGGGAGCGAAAGGGAUUAGAUACCCCGGUAGUC
rnacentral:rRNA from 1 species